UGUGGAGAAGAACCUCCUAACUAGCCUUUUAACCAUUGAUUUCACCAAAAUCGUUUUUACAAUCUGUUUAGUUUCAAGUUUCUGUUUUGUGUUAAAUUUUCGUCCAAAACAAAUCCCCCUUUUAUUUGAAGCCUUAGAUUAGUUAGAAAGUGUUUUGAUUUGUGUUUCUAAGUACUUUGAUUCAAGUUUUCAUCAAAUUUCGUCCAAAUUAGUGUAGGUGCUCAAAACUGCCAAGAAAGUGGUUUUUAGGCAGUUUUGAGCCUUCUAGUUGCUGUUUUGAGUUUUAG
rnacentral:lncRNA from 1 species